rnacentral:rRNA from 1 species
UGGGGAAUAUUGCACAAUGGGCGCAAGCCUGAUGCAGCCAUGCCGCGUGUGUGAAGAAGGCCUUCGGGUUGUAAAGCACUUUCAGCGAGGAGGGAAGGUGGUGAACUUAAUACGUUCAUCAAUUGACGUUACUCGCAGAAGAAGCACCGGCUAACUCCGUGCCAGCAGCCGCGGUAAUACGGAGGGUGCAAGCGUUAAUCGGAAUUACUGGGCGUAAAGCGCACGCAGGCGGUUUGUUAAGUCAGAUGUGAAAUCCCCGGGCUCAACCUGGGAACUGCAUUUGAAACUGGCAAGCUAGAGUCUCGUAGAGGGGAGUAGAAUUCCAGGUGUAGCGGUGAAAUGCGUAGAGAUCUGGAGGAAUACCGGUGGCGAAGGCGGCCCCCCUGGACGAAGACUGACGCUCAGGUGCGAAAAGCGUGGGGAGCAAAACAGGAUUAGAUACCCUGGUAGUCCACGCUGU